CGUAUAUUAAAGUUGUUAGUCAGUUAAAAGACUCGUAGUUGAAUUUCGGGGUUAGUAGGUUGGUCAUGCCUCUGGUAUGUACUGGUCCCACUGAUUCCUCCUUCCUGAUGAACUGUAAUGCCAUUAAUUUGGUGUUGCAGGGAAUCUGGACUGUUACUUUGAAAAAUUAGAGUGUUUAAAGCAGGCUAACGCUUGAAUACAUUAGCAUGGAAUAAUGAAAUAGGACGUUCGAUCUUAUUUUGUUGGUUUACUAAGAUUGACGUAAUGAUUAAUAGGGAUAGUUGGGGGCAUUAGUAUUCAAUUGUCAGAGGUGAAAUUCUUGGAUUUAUUGAAGACUAACUACUGCGAAAGCAUUUGCCAAGGAUGUCUUCAUUAAUCAAGAACGAAAGUUAGGGGGAUCGAAGACGAUCAGAUACCGUCGUAGUCUUAACCAUAAACUAUGCCGACUAGGGAUCGGAUGAUGUUAAUUUUUUAAUGACUCAUUCGGCGCCUUACG
rnacentral:rRNA from 1 species